rfam:Ornithorhynchus anatinus chromosome 7, whole genome shotgun sequence.
CCCCUCUCAGGGUCACACCUGGAGAGUUUCCAGUACUCUACCAGUCUCGGCUACGGGAGGGAGAGCCAAGCAGAGGCUUAUCCUACCCAUUCCAUUCCUAGCUCGGCCAGUGGCUACUGAGUGGAAGGCAAUCUGCUACAAGU